rnacentral:tRNA from 1 species
GUCCCCAUAGCUUAACGGCGGAGCGGUCGGCUGUUAACCGACAGGUCGCCGGUUCGAACCCGGCUGGGGACG